CCUGGUGGCUCAGAUGGUAAAGCAUCUGCCUGCAAUGCAGGAGACCCAGGUUCGAUUCCUGGGUCAGGA
rnacentral:tRNA from 1 species